AAACCGUUCAGGGGUAAGCCCGAGAAACCCGAAAGAUCGAACGAGGAGAUUCAUCGUCGGCGAGCGUCGGCCUCGCGCGCGGUACGCGAUGCCGCUGGACGCCGCGCCUUGCGCGCGCGCGCUCUACGGCACGCUGCCGCCGCGAAACUCCAUGCCGGCCUGUCGUCGUGCACUUCUCCCCUAGUAGGACGUCGCGACCCGCUGGGUGUCGGACUACGGCCCGGGUGUUACGCCUGUCCCGCUCGCCCGUCGAAGCGUUCACGCGCCCGACGUCGCCGCAGCGGUGCGCAGAUACCCGGUGUUCUCCCGUCCGACCGCCCGGCGGUAUGACAUUCGAACGACCCCCCGGUACAGGGCCGCAGGACGGUCUUCAUUCAUUCGAACGAACGGCCUAUCCGUGCGUCGAACCCGCCGCAAGCUCGGUCGGCGCGUCUCCCGGUGGUUCAGCGGAUCCCUUGCGGUCCGCCCUCGGGAGCGCCCGAUCGGCUGCUGGCCGGCGGUGUUCUUCGACUUUGGCCACUGGCAUAUAAGGCGCCUCGCGCGCCCCUCGUACCGGUCAGCGACGCUAUUGCUUUGGGUACUCUCGGGACCCGUCUUGAAACACGGACCAAGGAGUCUAACGUGUGCGCGAGUCAUUGGGACGUUACGAAUCCUAAAGGCGCAUUGAAAGAGAAUGUCCGCGACCGCGGUCGUUGCGUCGUGCCUCUCGGGGUACCCGCGCGGCUCGCGCGUCGCGCGACCCAGGGAGGAUGGGCGGCGUAGAUGCCGCCUCGCACUCCCGGGGCGUCUCGUUCUCGCCGCGGCGAGAAGAGGCGCACCUAGAGCGUACACGUUGGGACCCGAAAGAUGGUGAACUAUGCCUGGUCAGGACGAAGUCAGGGGAAACCCUGAUGGAGGUCCGAAGCGAUUCUGACGUGCAAAUCGAUCGUCGGAACUGGGUAUAGRRGCGAAAGACUAAUCGA
rnacentral:rRNA from 1 species